GUUUCGUAUGCAUUCCGAUCCCUUCGGGCUAGUUAAUCUGGAUCCCCACCAUGGAUGUUUGGCAUUCCCAGUCCUUGGAAAAAGUUUUUCAAAUCGAGUGCAUACAUUUGAUCUGAACUGUGGCAGCCUGCAUGGCGUUUUCCCUAGUAAGUACUGUCCAUGAUGUGAAAUUGAAGGCCCUGCUUGGCAAUAAUUGCAGCACCUCCAUGAGCUCUAUCCGAUGGAUGGUCAGCUCUUACUGUGUCGUAUCCACUAACUCUAAAAAGAGAUUUGCUAGUGAAGUGUGUUUCGGAAAGCCCAGUGGCAUUUCAUACUCCUAAGUUUAGAGACAAGAGACUUGUUUGAGGCACUUUUUCCUGCAGCCACUUGAGCGUAGGAUUGGUAAAUAAAUACUAAAAACAAGCCACAAGUCUGCUAAUGCAAUUUGUGCCUGGUCAAUGGCGGACUCAUCGUCUGCGACCAACCAACUUCGCUGUAGCGAUUAAAUUAACAACAAACAAAAGGAAAAACAUAACUAUCGAUAAUCUAUCGUGGACCAGCGAUCGAU
rnacentral:lncRNA from 1 species